rnacentral:rRNA from 1 species
AGAGUUUGAUCAUGGCUCAGGACGAACGCUGGCGGCGUGCCUAAUACAUGCAAGUAGAACGCUGACUACUUUAGCUUGCUAGAGUAGAAGGAGUUGCGAACGGGUGAGUAACGCGUAGGUAACCUGCCUACUAGCGGGGGAUAACUAUUGGAGACGAUAGCUAAUACCGCAUAACAGUGUUUAACACAUGUUAGAUGCUUGAAAGAUGCAAAUGCAUCACUAGUAGAUGGACCUGCGUUGUAUUAGCUAGUUGGUGGGGUAACGGCCUACCAAGGCGACGAUACAUAGCCGACCUGAGAGGGUGAUCGGCCACACUGGGACUGAGACACGGCCCAGACUCCUACGGGAGGCAGCAGUAGGGAAUCUUCGGCAAUGGGGGCAACCCUGACCGAGCAACGCCGCGUGAGUGAAGAAGGUUUUCGGAUCGUAAAGCUCUGUUGUAAGAGAAGAACGUGUGUGAGAGUGGAAAGUUCACACAGUGACGGUAACUUACCAGAAAGGGACGGCUAACUACGUGCCAGCAGCCGCGGUAAUACGUAGGUCCCGAGCGUUGUCCGGAUUUAUUGGGCGUAAAGCGAGCGCAGGCGGUUUAAUAAGUCUGAAGUUAAAGGCAGUGGCUUAACCAUUGUUCGCUUUGGAAACUGUUAAACUUGAGUGCAGAAGGGGAGAGUGGAAUUCCAUGUGUAGCGGUGAAAUGCGUAGAUAUAUGGAGGAACACCGGUGGCGAAAGCGGCUCUCUGGUCUGUAACUGACGCUGAGGCUCGAAAGCGUGGGGAGCAAACAGGAUUAGAUACCCUGGUAGUCCACGCCGUAAACGAUGAGUGUAGGUGUUAGGCCCUUUCCGGGGCUUAGUGCCGCAGCUAACGCAUUAAGCACUCCGCCUGGGGA